GAUGAACGCUGGCGGCGUGCCUAAUACAUGCAAGUCGAGCGAACAGACGAGGAGCUUGCUCCUCUGACGUUAGCGGCGGACGGGUGAGUAACACGUGGAUAACCUACCUAUAAGACUGGGAUAACUUCGGGAAACCGGAGCUAAUACCGGAUAAUAUAUUGAACCGCAUGGUUCAAUAGUGAAAGACGGUUUUGCUGUCACUUAUAGAUGGAUCCGCGCCGCAUUAGCUAGUUGGUAGGGUAACAGCUUACCAAGGCAACGAUGCGUAGCCGACCUGAGAGGGUGAUCGGCCACACGGGAACUGAGACACGGUCCAGACUCCUACGGGAGGCAGCAGUAGGGAAUCUUCCGCAAUGGGCGAAAGCCUGACGGAGCAACGCCGCGUGAGUGAUGAAGGUCUUCGGAUCGUAAAACUCUGUUAUUAGGGAAGAACAAAUGUGUAAGUAACUAUGCACGUCUUGACGGUACCUAAUCAGAAAGCCACGGCUAACUACGUG
rnacentral:rRNA from 1 species